AAACAGGACGUUUAGAUACUCUUUAAAUUCUUAUGAACCUUAAAGAGUGUUCAUUUAAAAAAGGGCUUUAUGAAGAAAGCACUUUAAGCUUUUCCAAUGAUUUAAGAUGAUACCGGGGAAGGUUUUCCGGUUUAUCCCGGAGGGCUUGUAGCUCAGUUGGUUAGAGCGCGCGCUUGAUAAGCGUGAGGUCGGAGGUUCAAGUCCUCCCAGGCCCACCAAUUUAUGCUCGUUUUUUACUUAUCCUGAGAGUUAUGAAGCUUAACGUAUUAAACGUAUCAAAGCCUCUUUAAUCUUUGUUCAUCGUUUAAAGAUUUUAUUUUAUCCUUCAAAAAUUGUUUGUUAAAUUUAUCUCAUUACGUUUAUCAAACAGUGCCUUUGUCAAAGAAGGAUUUUAAGUUCCCUUCAAGAGGAUAGACAAAUUUAAAGGAUAAAAGCUAAAAAAUGAUACAAAUCAAUAAAAAUGAUACAAAUCAAUACAAGUCAAAAUAGUAUUGAUCGAAAAAAUAGCAUUGAUUAAAAGAGGACAGGUCACUCAAGUUGAUAAAUUUUUUGAGUUGAUAAAUUUUUUGAGGUUGAU
rnacentral:tRNA from 1 species